CGCAACUUCCUAAUUUCCGGAUCGAUUCCAUGAAUCAGCUGCAAACAUCGCGUCGCCGCUCCUUCCUUCCCUCCUCCCGUGCGCUCCCCCCCCCCCAUUCACCUUGCCUCCCGUCGCCGCCUGCGCUCCUGCAAGCCGCCGCCGACCUCCUUUGUCGGUCAGUCGUGCCCAACGCCCUCCUCCUCCUUUCUCUCUUCCUCUCUCCGUCCCCGUGCAGGACGCCAUGGCCAUGGACCAAAGCUCCGCCGGACCUUCCAUCGCGACUGCCAAUCUUCCUCCUGACCAGAUCACCGUCGCAACUGCUGCGGUCCAGGCUGGCCGCCGUCUUUUGCGGGUUCGUGGCCACGUUUUCCUACUAAACCAUGGCCGCCACUUCCUGCUAGAUUAGCGGACAGGGAGAAGAAGGAAGAAGUUGCAGUAAUCAGAAGUGGCGAACCAGGGAGGGGACACAGUAUGAAUCGUGAGAUAAACUUCGACUGAAAAAACAUGAUUCUAAGGUGAUAUAUACUCGAGGGCAUGAAGACGAGUAUUUAAUAAUACUCCAGGUGAGAUAUAUGCAGGUGUUCUGAAUUGUGGUUUCGAGGAAAACAAUGAUGGAACUCAAUAUGCAGCCGCUAAGUUUGUUUUUGAAGCUUGAUCAACAUCUUUUAUCGAGCAGUGCUAUACACACGAUCGUGUGCAGACGAUGUGUGCACGACAAGGCAAUCAGCUCCGUCCAUUGCAUGGCAACAGCAGGCAGCAGGCCGCUAGAUGUGUAUCGUGCAGUGGUCGUGCACACAUUUGUCGUCUGUGAAGCAGUUCCGUCUUUUAUCAGCUGUUAAUUAGUACUAGGAUUCAUAUGCAUGUCUACUAUUUUUCAGGAAACUCAAGACAUGAUGGUUCUGUUUUGGACGGAAAAGAAAAGUAGGACCACUGUGUUAACCCAAUGCUUAGGUGAUUAACUGCAGAUCAAACAAUUUUUAUCACCUGCUUACGCAGUAUGGAAGUGCACAUUGUUAUUGGUGAGUGACCUUCUUGGCAUAUGCAGAUUUUCUGCAUUCUGAAUUUUUAGCCCUUGUGAUUCUUGUAGGUUAUGCUUUAUUCAGGCGUAUCACUUGUACUUCCAUUGCUCUACAUUUUACUUAAAUCACAUAUUUGACACCUUGUACAAUCUGCAGUUAAUUACAAAAUCCCCAGAGUCGCGGAGGUGUUCUAGACUAUUUCAUUAGUCCAUUUAGAGCAUGUCAAAUGGAGCAUCUUAUUUAGGGAUAAAAUCAACUUUCCUCUGAAGUCUGUUGCUGGUACCACUCUUUUAUAUGGUGGUCUGAACUAGUCACGCUCUUGUGAUAGAUUACUACAUCUAGCUGAAGUUAAUAGCGCAAGGUGCUUGCUUAAGCUGCCAGCAUGUAAGAAAUACUAACAUAUUUGUUACCAUUGUAAUAUGAUAUCUCAAUUAUGGUGCGCGUGUGCGUAUGCGUGUGCCCUUGUAGCUGGUCUAUUUGCAAAUGGAACUGCUCCAAAAAAUUCAAUUAGAGCUAGCUGAUAGUGACAGAUAACUACAUCUAUGUGAACCUGCAUUGUCCUACAGUCAUACAUACUUUGAGCUAGCUGAUAGUGACAGAGUACUACAUCUAUGUGAACCCGUAUUAUCCUGUUAUGCUUCUCUUGACCCUCUUUGCUUUGCAUUUCAAAAAUUGACCCUGAAUUUCUAAAAACAUGCUUUCCUACUGGUAAACUGGUAAGCUACAUAUGUAGUGUACUGGAAUGGAUAGCAAUUAGGAUAGCAAAAGUGGGGAAUCGGGAGUACCUCAAAUCGGAAAUAAGCACAACAGAGUGCCGAAGUGGGGAAUAAACAACCAACGUCGGCUUGCAGUUGCAGGGGCACCAGCCGCCGCGGCACUGCUGCCGCUGCACCUGGGCAGCAUGCAGCGCAGCCGCGCAGGGUGGUGGGAGCCGCCGACGAGCGGAGUCUCCGAGCGCCGGGCGAGCUAGACGGAGAGGAAGGACGCGCAAUUGCCACGGCAGAUGAUCCAGUGGAGAUGAGUCUCAUGCCUCUGCGCCCGCCUCCGUCAGCACCUAGCACUGGGUCGGCCCGCGAGCAUGCCGAGCUCGAGCGGAUCCUCGGGCACUUCAGCGACCAAUUCGACAAGGAGGAGCUGAGAAGAGCAGGGGAGUGCGAGACCUCGCGCCGGCGAUGGGGACAAAGGGAAGAGGCGGCCUGAUGAGGUAGAGAGAUAGAGAGAGAGCUAUGGCCACCAUGAAAUGGGGAGCGGUGGUGAGAGAGCUGUUGCCACAAUGAUGAAGCGUCAGGCGUGGAGAACUGAGAUGGAGCAUCGAGUGUGUCUCAUUUGUUUUUAUUUUUUCUUGAUCGACAGCCCUUUUGGUCAAGUAACAAGUACCGCACGCAUUAGUUGUAAAAAAGAACAAAUAUAUACGCACAUACACUUAAAAAAUACACGCGUUGGAAAAUUUAUUUUUUUUGAACACAGUACAGACGCACCCACUCAUAUAUACGCACAUACACUCACCUUAUGAACUACACACACCCUACCCCUAUGAGCACCUCCAAAAGACUGAGCCGACAUAUCGUAUUAGAUUUUACAAAGUCACCGAUGGAAACGUCUACUCCCACUGAACGCGCAUCGUCGAAAAUCCUGAAAUAAAUUUAGGAUAAAUGUAAGGAUCGGGACUUGAACCUUGGUGUGCUGGGGAUACCAUUGUCCACCUAACUAUUCAACCAUCCAAUAAAUUCAUUUUUCUAUGGAUGCCUUUUGGUCAUUUUCAAUCUGGCGUGUUCGGUUUGACUCUUUUUGUGGGUAGAACUUGUAUUACUGUAGAAGUUCAAAAUUACAAUCCUCCUUACAUAAAUCAGUAACCUCUCUAAGUUUGGAGGCCGACCAAACGACAUUUCUACUUGCAGUUCUUGCAAAUUUAGCAAAAAAAACACUAACCACAUUCUGAGUUCGAUUGAGAUGAGUAAUAUGAGUCAGAUGAAAAGACCUCAAAUGCUUGAUCUCCGCUACCAAAGACUCAUAGGCUCGGUAAAAAGGAUUGGCUAGAAAGUAAGAUUUAAAAUAGAUGUUUUUAUUAUAGAUUAUACAUGCAUUGUACGUGCAUAUUUACUAGUGAUAAAAGAAAAUCUGCAUUGCGCGUACAUUCCUUACUUUUCUACAUAAUUAGCCGGCAAACCAAUCCCGAAAAACAUGUCGCGAGGACAUUUUUACAAAAAAAAACCUCUAGCUUCUCCCGACCAAACCUGCGCUCCUUGUCGUCCUCCUCCGACAGAAGCAGCAGCUGCGCUGCUCUCCGCCGCCGCAGCUUCCCUGCUCCCCGCCGCCGCAGCUGCCCUACUCCCCGCCGCCGCAGCCCCCCCUGCUCGCCCGCUCUCCCGCCGCAGCUGCCUCCUGCUCCACUGCCGCAGUUGCCGCCCGCCUGCCUCCCCAAGCUCCCCUCUUCCUCAAAAAGAUCUUCAAUUUCCCCAGCUACCGCCACGCUCUGCUCCGGCUGCGCCGGAACUGCCGUCGGAGAGCCCGGAGGCGCCGGAUCUGGACCACCAACAACAACGUCAAGGCCGAUGAGCAGCCAGGUGUCGUCCUCGCCGUCGACGACGACGGUGUCGUCGACGCCACGGAGCGAGGGCGAGAUCCUCCAGUCGGCCAACAUCAAGAGUUUCGCCUUCACGGAGCUGAUUUUCAGCUGGCUGCUGCUGCUGCUGCCCCCGGUAGCGCCGGCACCGUGCUGCCGCGUCCGGCACUCGCACCGGCGGCCGGCGGGGCACGCCUUCAAGUACGCCGUGCGCUACGUCCUCGUGGACCUCGACCACCUCGUUGUUGUUGUAAAUUUUCCUCAUUUGCGCUGAAGUGAGUCAGUUCUUUGUUUGAUGAAGGCGUCUACUGACGGUACCCAAGAGCGUGGGGUACGAUCAGAGAACAAGAUGAAUAAUCAGCUACUGCUAUGACGCAGCGGUGCAAGAACAAGAUGAACACCUCAACAUGUGCAUUGCUGGAGCAGAUUUCAGUUCAGAAGCAGAUUUUGUGUUGCAAUCAUCACACUUAGGAGUAGUUUGUCAUUUUAAAUGGUCAUUUAGUUUCAGUUCAGUUAACACUUCCUUGCUUCAGUAAUUAGUUCCUGAUAUUGUCCAACAUAUGUGAAUUAGUUCCUGAUAUUGACAUUAAUUUUUCAUGUAGGCUCAAUGCUCCUGAUAUUAGAGCAACUUUUCAUUUCUGAAACUUUUAGCCUCAAAUUGCAGACCUCCUGGUGCAUCCCUUGAAUAACAAAACAUGCAAAAGGCUGGGAGGUCUGAACUCUAGCCUAUACCUUUUGUGACAAAUUUAGUAAUCAAUUGUUAUUGCUUUUUUGUAGAGGUCCAUCUUGAAGCAUCUUUACUAUAGGAGUACUCUGUUUAGAACAUGAAGCAAAUUCAGUAGACAUUUUUACAAGAAUUCAGUAGAUUUCGUCAUUUGGAUAGGAGUAUUUCUCUGCUUCAUUUGUCAAUUGGAUCAAGAUGCUACUCUACUUCACCAUAAGAAGAAGUAUUUUUAUGCUCCAUUUGUCACACAGUUUUACGUCACCAUCAUAAGCAGAAGUACCAAUUGAAGUUUUACAUCACCAUCACACAGUUUUACUAUACCUUCUUCAGGGUGCAGUGUAGUAGCAACAGCAGCACGGGCAGGGUCAAUGAGCAUCAGCACGGGCAGCUCAGUGGAGCAGCAGCAGCACGGGCAGGGUCAGUGGAGCAGCGGCAGCACGGGCAGGGUCAGUGGAGCGGCAGCAGCACGGGCAGAGACCACCGGCGACAAGGGAGAAGCAGCCGCACGGGUGUGUCGGUAGGGGAGAAGGAGCAGUACGGGUGCGCGGGCGUGGGAGAUCGACGAGGCCGCUCUGGAGAUCGAGGAUCACGUGCGCGAGCUCCUGGCCCACCGGACCAUGGAGGCAGGCUCCGGCGACGCCGAUAGGGGAUCACGGCGGCGCAUGUGCCGGAGCUCGAAGAGGAUGCACGGGAGCACGAGGAGGAUGUGCGCGGGCUUCAGGAGGAUGCGGGGGAGCUCGAGGAGGGACGUGCACGGCCUCGCGGAAGACGUAGCGGGAGAAUUCGGCGACGCCCGCUGGUAAUCGAAGAGGGAGAGGACCGCGGCGGCGCAGGUCUGGGCUGCGGCAGUGGAGGAGGUAACUGCCGAUGGCGGCGAGAGCUUGUACUUGGCGACGGCGGAGGAGCUUAGCUGGGCUCGCCGGCCCCUAGCGAAUCACGCAGCUGGGCGGCACCGUCCCCUGGCGAUGCGCAGGCGACGGACGGAGGAAGAAGACGGGGCGGAGGGAUUUGUUUGAAAUGCUUUUGAAACCACGAGGUUUUUUUUGCAAAAUUACCAAUGAACUAUGCCCGCGACAUGUUUUUCGGGACGGAGGGAGUAUUUUGUCAGAUAUUUUUUGUUGGUAAAGACACAUCAUCACAGUGUUAGCACUAGCUUAUCCAUUGGUCAUAAUCACAGCGAAUCGAGAGAAAUGCAUGAAACACGACAUUGUAAUUCGAAGACAGCAAUUGAGCAAGGUCGAUGCAUA